CGGCCACUGCCAGCUUAAACCAACAACUCCGUUUGUUGUUUCAUUGAUUUUUCUGUAUUUUCUCAAAGAUUCCACGACGUCACAGGUAUUCGACGGCGAUUCCUCCGGCGAGAUCCAUAAUCUUGAACUCCCUAUGUUUGAUAAUGUUCGUUACCAUUCGCAUUUAGAUGGUAGAGCUCAUUCGUGUGGCUGGAAGGCGGCGGACUGAUGGAAAUCGGAGUUUUCGCGCUAGAUACAGGUUUGGUAACUGAUAUUUCAUGGUCUAUGUACUUCGAGCUUUCUGGUGUGCGGCAUGAGUGAAUGAGAGAACUCUGGCUUUUGCUACAGUAAUCUGUAAUAUGGAAAAAAUAACUCAUGAACAUCUUGAUCUUAACAAUGAAAGCAUGUUCAGAGUAAACUUAUGUUUCAGACACUGAGAAUAGGCAGAAGAAGAGCAGCUGAUUAAAAAUAUCUAGAGAACUGAUGGAACAACUUUAUCACUCUUGAUUUAGAAUUGAAGCCCCAAUUGUAUGUUGUUGUCUAGAAAUGGAGAUGAAGAUAUUUCACUUGUUAUGGACAUUAUUAUUUGUUGUUUCACUCCUCUUCAUCAAUAAAGACUUUCUUCCAUCUAUUAUUAGCUAAAAUAAUAAAUGUUGCUAGUUGUAUGAAUUAUUAGAAUUUAUUUGUGGUAACAUGGGAUGAAAAUGUUACCAUAUGAUGUUUAUUUAUAUUAUUUUUUCAAUA